AUUGAACGCUGGCGGCAGGCCUAACACAUGCAAGUCGAGCGGAGCGGCGGACGGGUGAGUAAUGCCUAGGAAUCUGCCUGGUAGUGGGGGAUAACGUCGGGAAACGGGCCCUAAUACCGCAUACUAGCAGAUGAGCCUAGGCCGGAUUAGCUAGUUGGUGGGGUAAAGGCCUACCAAGGCGACGAACCGUAACUGGUCUGAGAGGAUGAUCAGCCACACGGGAACUGAGACACGGACGAGACUCCUACGGGAGGCAGCAGGUGGUAAUAUUGGACAAUGGGCGAAAGCCUGACACAGCAAUGCCGCGCGUAGGAAGAAGGUCUUCGGAUUGUAAAGCACUUUAAGUUGGGAGGCGUUAUCAACAGAAUAAGCACCGGCUAACUGCGUGCCAGCAGCCGCGGUAAUAC
rnacentral:rRNA from 1 species